UAUCCCCAAAGUUGAGUAACCAUAACUUAUACAUAUUUUAUAACUUAUCUGACACAUGACAUCAUUAUCAUACAAGACUAUUACAAAGCUAAUCGUGCACAUUAACUUUAAGCUGGAACUGUCUUUAACUUUCCUUGUAUCCGACGCAUUCACCUUAAUCUGCAAUGUUUUAUCAUGAUAUAGCAAGGGUGAGCAUGAAAGUUGCCCAGCAAGUUUAAAUACAAUUUAAGGAUAUAUCAUGAUUGAAAGAUUUAGAAUAAUAAGCUGGCUAUAAUUCACAAUGUAGUUGUGAAUUAGCAUGAACAAACUUUUGACUGAACAAGUAUUACAUAUGAACAAUAUAUAUCUGGACCAACUGGAAAUGAAGGUGAUCAGCCUUUCAUACCUGAAUUAUACAUACAAGAUGUACAGAGCACAAUUCUACAUGGCAAUCAGUAAUGAUUAACCAUAAGCAUAACUGAAUGAAACACUCUUAGUAGAG
rnacentral:lncRNA from 1 species